UCUCUGAUCGUAUAUCGGUUAGUACACGCGCCUGUCAUCGGGUCCCAUUCCCGGUCCGCGCGAGAGCGGGGUUCGACUCCCCGUCAGAGAG
rnacentral:tRNA from 1 species